GCCCCGCUGGGAGAGUGUGUGGGUGUGUGUCCCUCUGUGUGUCCCUCUGUGUGUCCCUCUGUGUGUGUCUCUGUCCCUCUGUGUCCCCCCCAUGUGUCCCCACUGUGUAUGGGGCGGUCCCUGUGUGUGUGUGUGUCCCUCUGUGUGUACCUGUGUGUCCCCACGGUGUGUGUGUAUCCGUGUCCCUCUGUGUAUGUGUGUCCCUUUGCGCGUCCUUGUGUGUCCCUGUGUGUGCCCCCACUAUGUGUGUGUGUCCUUCCCUCUGUGUGGGUUCUUGUGUGUAUCCCUGUCUGUGUGUCCCCCUCUGUGUGUCUCCCUAUGUGUUCCCAUUGUGUGUGUGUGUCCCUGUGCGUGUCCCCCUAUGUGUCCCCGCUGUGUGUGAGGGGGUCCUUGUGUGUGACCCUCUAUGUAGUUCCCUGUGUGUGUCCCUAUGUGUCCCCCCACUGUGUCUCUGUCCCUCUGCGUAUGUCUCUGUCCCUCUGUGUGUCACCCUGUGUGUCCCCACCGUGUGUGUGUCCUCACUGUGUGUGUGGGGUCCCUCUGUGUAUGUCCCUGUGUGUGGGUCCUUAUGUCUGUGCCCCUCUGUGUCUUCCUCUGUGUGUGUCCCUAUGGGUGGGUGGGUGUCCCCAUGUCCUCUGUGUGUCCCGUGUCCCCACUGUGUGUGUCUCUGUCCCUCUAUGUGUCCUCCUAUGUGUCCCCAUUGUGUAUGUGUGUCCACUGUGUGUGCAGGGGUCCCUCUGUCUGUGUCCCUAUGUAUCCCUAUGUGUGUCCCUCUGUGGGUGUCCCUAUGUGUGUAUGUGUGUGUCCCCAUGUUCCUCUGUGUCUCUAUGUGUCCCUGUGUGUCCCUAUGUGUCCUCCUCUGUGUGGGUCCCUGUGUGUGUGUGUCCAUAUGUGUCCCUCUGUGGGUGCGCCCCUGUGUGUGUGUCAUGGUAUGUCCCCCGUGUGUGUGUGUGUCCCUGUGUGUGUCCCUGUGUGUCCCUGUGUGUGUGUGUGUCCUCCUCUGUGUGUAUGUCUCCCAUGUGUCCCCCUGUGCAUGUGUCCCUAUGUGUGUACUCCCCAUGUGUGUGUCCCUGUGUGUGUCCCCCUCUGUGCUUGUGUCCCUAUGUGUGUCCCCGAACAUGUGUGUCUGUGUGGGUCCCUGUGUGUAUGUGUGUCCUUCUGUGGCGGUCCCUGUGUGUGUCGCCUGUUAAACGGCUUGUUGGCAAAGAUAAACUUGUAUUUUCAUGUGUAAAGGAGAAUUAAUUGCAAUAAAUAGUGUAUAUGUCUUAGCUUUUGUGAUUAUGAAGUUUAAAAAGGCCAAGCACAAAGUCCUGCACCUGGGUCGGGUCAAUCCUAAGUGCAGUUACAGACUGGGUGGAGAAUGGAUUGCAGCUCUGUAGAAAAGGACUUGGGGUUGCUGAUGGAUUGGAAGCUCAACAUGAGCGAGCAAUGCAUGCUUGCAGCCCAGAAAGCCAACUGUAUCCUGGAUAGCAUCAAAAGAAGUGUGACCAGCAGGCUGAGGGAGGUUAUUCUCCCCCUCUACUCUGCUCUCAAGAAACCCCACCUGGAGUUCUGCAUUCAUUUCUGGGGUCCUCAGCACAGUACAGACAGAUCUGUUGGAGCAAGUCCAGAGGAGGGCCACAAAGAUGAUCGGAGGGAUGAAGCGCCUCGCAUGCAAGGACAAGCUGAGAGAGUUGGUGUUGUUCAGUCUAGAGAAGAGAAGGCUCUGGGGAGACCUUCUAGCAGCCUUCUGAUAUUGGUGUUAAUCUGACAGAUCCUAUGUUCAGAGGAAUCUACAGAGGAACACAAAAGCAUCAAGAAACUGGAUGCUUGUUAUUUACUAUGGCUUGAAGAAGAAAAUGUGACAAAAUAAGUUAGAUGUUCUAAGUAAAAUGUAUUCUCUUCUACUGAAUUGCUAUUAAGUUGUCACACAGAUGACUUUUUGGAUGUGGUAGAGAGAGCAGUCAGAGUUGGUGUUAAAAAGUUUUUGAUUACAGGUGGGAGUCUACAAGACAGUAAAGACGCUUUGCAGCUGGCACAGACAAACG